AGAGCGAACGCUGGCGGCAGGCUUAACACAUGCAAGUCGAGCGGGCGUAGCAAUACGUCAGCGGCAGACGGGUGAGUAACGCGUGGGAACAUACCUUUUGGUUCGGAACAACCCAGGGAAACUUGGGCUAAUACCGGAUAAGCCCUUACGGGGAAAGAUUUAUCGCCGAAAGAUUGGCCCGCGUCUGAUUAGCUAGUUGGUGAGGUAACGGCUCACCAAGGCGACGAUCAGUAGCUGGUCUGAGAGGAUGAUCAGCCACAUUGGGACUGAGACACGGCCCAAACUCCUACGGGAGGCAGCAGUGGGGAAUAUUGGACAAUGGGCGCAAGCCUGAUCCAGCCAUGCCGCGUGAGUGAUGAAGGCCCUAGGGUUGUAAAGCUCUUUUGUGCGGGAAGAUAAUGACGGUACCGCAAGAAUAAAGCCCCGGCUAACCUUCGCGCCAGCAGCCGC
rnacentral:rRNA from 1 species